rnacentral:tRNA from 1 species
AAACUUAGGUUCAAUUUAAACCAAGAGCCUUCAAAGCUCAAAACAUGGCCUAAACCACCAUAG